GUACUGCUGAGGAGUCUCAAAUUAGGACGAAACAGCUGUCCAGUAC
rfam:Trichobilharzia regenti genome assembly, scaffold: TRE_scaffold0036939